UACGUAGGCGACAAGCGUUGUCCGGAUUUACUGGGCGUAAAGAGCGCGCAGGCGGUCGUUCAAGUCGAGUGUGAAAGCCCCCGGCUCAACUGGGGAGGGUCACUCGAUACUGAUCGACUCGAAGGCAGGAGAGGGAAGUGGAAUUCCCGGUGUAGUGGUGAAAUGCGUAGAUAUCGGGAGGAACACCAGUGGCGAAGGCGACUUCCUGGCCUGUUCUUGACGCUGAGGCGCGAAAGCUAGGGGAGCAAACGGG
rnacentral:rRNA from 1 species